rnacentral:rRNA from 1 species
AUGCUUUACACAUGCAAGUCGAACGGCAGCAUAGAGAGCUUGCUCUCUGAUGGCGAGUGGCGAACGGGUGAGUAAUAUAUCGGAACGUGCCUAGUAAUGGGGAAUAACUAGCUGAAAGGUUAGCUAAUGCCGCAUACGACCUACGGGUGAAAGCAGGGGAUCUUCGGACCUUGCGUUAUUAGAGCGGCCGAUAUCUGAUUAGCUUGUUGGUGGGGUAAUGGCCUACCAAGGCGACGAUCAGUAGCUGGUCUGAGAGGACGAUCAGCCACACUGGAACUGAGACACGGUCCAGACUCCUACGGGAGGCAGCAGUGGGGAAUUUUGGACAAUGGGGGCAACCCUGAUCCAGCCAUUCCGCGUGAGUGAAGAAGGCCUUCGGGUUGUAAAGCUCUUUCGCAAGAGAAGAAAACUUGCUAUCUAAUAAAUAGCAAGUAUGACGGUAUCUUGACAAGAAGCACCGGCUAACUACGUGCCAGCAGCCGCGGUAAUACGUAGGGUGCAAGCGUUAAUCGGAAUUACUGGGCGUAAAGCGUGCGCAGGCAGUUUUAUAAGUCAGAUGUGAAAUCCCCGAGCUCAACUUGGGAACUGCGUUUGAAACUGUAAGACUAGAGUGUGUCAGAGGGGGGUAGAAUUCCAAGUGUAGCAGUGAAAUGCGUAGAGAUUUGGAGGAAUACCAAUGGCGAAGGCAGCCCCCUGGGAUAACACUGA